rnacentral:misc_RNA from 1 species
AAAGUCGUAACAAGGUUUCCGUAGGUGAACCUGCGGAAGGAUCAUUAACUCAUGAUUUAAUCGUCAUGUUUUAAACAAACACAUUAAACUAAACUAAACACUCCGUGAACUAUAUAACCAAAUCGAAAUAUGGGUAGUUGAAGGUUCGUGCUGGCAACAGUAUGUUCAAUCGCUAUUCAUGUUAUAACCAAUUAUAUUUUUAACCAAAUAUUAACCAAACUUUUACCGUACAUGCCUGUGUUCAUCGAGUUAUUUACGAUGGGCAACUGGGUCUGACUGAACUAAAACUUCAUUAUCCUAACGGAGGUGAUUUUAAUAAAUAACAAAUAUAUACAACUCUUAACAAUGGAUAUCUUGGCUCUC